rnacentral:rRNA from 1 species
CAGAGUUCGAUGUAGCUCAGAUUGAACGCUGGCGGGAUGUAAGCGCUUUACACCUUUAAAGUCGAACGGCUGGCACACGGACUUCAGUCUGGUGGCAGUGGCGAACGGGUGAGUAAUGUAUCGGAACGUGCCUAGUAGCGGGGGAUGUACGCCCCGAAAGCUGGCUAUUCCCGCAUACGCCCUUCGGGGAAAGCGGGGGACCUUCGGGCCUCGCACUAUUAGAGCAGCGGCCGAUAUGGUUAGCUAGUUGGUGGGGUAACGGCUCGCCAGGCGACGAUCAAGCUGGUUUGAGAGGACGACCAGCCACCUGCGGACUGGAACGGCUGAACUCCUGCGGGAGGCAGCAGUGGGGAAUUUUGGACAAUAGGGAAACCCUGAUCCAGCCAUCCCGCGUACGAUGAAGGCCUUCGGGUUGUAAGCGCACGGCGGGAAAGAAACGGCGCAGGAUAAUACCCCGUGCAGCAACAAUCUACACAGGGCUCUUCAAACUAACUACGUGCCAGCAGCCGCGGUAAUACGUAGGGUGCAAGCGUUAAUCAGGAUGGGCGUAAAGCGUGCGCAGGCGGUUCGGAAAGAAAGAUGUGAAAUCCCAGAGCUUAACUCUGGAACUGCAGUAUACCGCUACGAGCUAGAGUGUGUCAGAGAGGAGUGAUUCGUGUAGCAGUGAAAUGCGUAGAUAUGCGGAGGAACACCGAUGGCGAAGGCGGCCUCAUAGGAUAACACUGACGCUCAUGCACGAAAGCGUGGGAGCAAACGGAUUGGAUACCUGGUAGUCACGCCUAAACAGUAUGUCCAACUAACUGUUGGGGCUGGCCUUGGUAGCGCAGCUAACGCGUGAAGUUGACCGCCUGGGGAAGCCGCGGUCGCAAGAUUAAAACUCAGAAGAUUGACAGGGACCCGCACAAGCGGUGGAUGAUGUGGUUAGGUGGUGAAGCGCGAAAAACCUUACCUACCCUUGACGCUGUCUGGAAUCCCGAAGAGAUUUGGGAGUGCUCGCAAAGAGAACCGGGCCACAAGAGUGCUGCAUGGCUGUCGUCAGCUCGUCGUGAAUGUUGGUUAAGUCCCGCAACGAGCGCAAGCGCGUAGCCAAGUUACUUCCCAAAGGGCAUCGGCGAGCUAUAGUGAUAAAACCGGAGGAAAGUCGAGGACGUGUCGAUCCUCGGCCCUUAUGGGUAGGGCUUCACACGUCAUACAAUGGUCGGGACAGAGGGUCGCCAACGCGAGAGGCAAUCCCGAAGAAACCCGAUCAUGAUCGGAUCACAGUCUGCAACUCGACUGCGUGAAGUCAAGAUCUUCAAACUGAUAACGGAUCAGCAUGUCUGCGGUGAAUACGUUCCAGGUCUUGUACACACCGCCCGUCACACCAUGCUGGGGUGGGUUUACCGGCGUGUUGCUUCGCCGUAAAGGAGGGCGAUUACCACGGUAAGUUCGCGGCUGGGGUGAAGUCAACAACAAUUAG